rnacentral:rRNA from 1 species
GACGAACGCUGGCGGCGUGCUUAACACAUGCAAGUCGAACGGAAAGGCCCUGCUUUUGUGGGGUGCUCGAGUGGCGAACGGGUGAGUAACACGUGAGUAACCUGUCCUUGACUUUGGGAUAACUUCAGGAAACUGGGGCUAAUACCGGAUAGGAGCUCCUGCUGCAUGGGGGGGGUUGGAAAGAUUCGGCGGUUGGGGAUGGACUCGCGGCUUAUCAGCUUGAUGGUGGGGUAGUGGCUUACCAAGGCUUUGACGGGUAGCCGGCCUGAGAGGGUGACCGGCCACAAGGGGACUGAGAGACGGACCAGUCUCCAACGGGAGGCAGCGGGGGGAAACAUGGCACAAUGGGCGGAAGCCUGAUGCAGCAACCCCGCGUGCGUGAUAACGUCCUUCGGGUUGAAAACCGAUUUCGCCUGUGACGAAGCGUUAGUGACGGUAAUUGGUAAGGAAGCAACGGCUAACUACGUG